UCACCCCUCAAGCCCUUCGGCUUGGUGUUGGACGGUUUGGUGAAUAUAUUUUUUAUUUACCCCUCCCAAAGACAAUGACGGCGGCCUCGUUGGACCCCCGGUACACUGAGUUCUUCACCGAACACGUACUGGAAAAAGGGUUCACGGGCAACGGUCUGCCUCCCCUCAGGGAGAACUUUUUUCUAA
rnacentral:misc_RNA from 1 species